AUGAGGAGUAUUGCUGGGCCAGAGAUAACAUGUGGGAACGUGCAAGGUCAGCCCGUGUUUAGAUCAGAAGCCCCAAUUCUCCCUUUGAUUCCAGGAUGCGCAGCAACUGGCAGGAAAGCCGCCAUCUCUGCUCCACUAGGCUCCUUCUUCUCCUAUACGUGGGAUGCCUCCAAACGCACUAUUAGGACUUUCCGGAGCCUUAGGCCUGUGUGCCAAAUCUCACUUCCUUCUCCGUGCAGGUGACAGAGAUGGAGCGAUACCAUCCUUCACCUGGAGGAAACAUGACUUCCCAGGGAAUGCACGCUGCCUUGCAGAGGGCUGACGGGGACAUCCUGGGAGGUUGCCACACUUACUGCUUGCAGGCAUCACCACGUGGGGCUGUGGGUCUGGCUGGACCACCUGCCAAUGACACGAUGCCUCUGGCCAAGCAAUGGGAAAUUAGAAGCUUUUUCUAGUUUCAUGUACGGUCUCAGCCUUACCCUCCCAAUGUCAUUUCUUGUAGAAACUGAAACACUUACUCCCCCUCCCC
rnacentral:lncRNA from 1 species